rnacentral:rRNA from 1 species
AACGAACGCUGGCGGCAGGCUUAACACAUGCAAGUCGAACGCAACCUUCGGGGCGAGUGGCAGACGGGUGAGUAACGCGUGGGAACGUGCCCUUCAUUUCGGGAUAACCCAGGGAAACUUGGCCUAAUACCGGAUACGUGCGAGAGCAGAAAGAUUUAUCGCUGCAGGAUGGGCGCGCGUGUGAUUAGCUAGUUGGGGGGGCAAUGGUCCACCAAGGCAGCGAUCAGUAGCUGGUCUGCGAGGAUGAUGAGCCACAUUGGGACUGAGACACGGCCCAAAAUCCAACGGGAGGAAGAAGUGGGGAAUAUUGGGCAAUGGGCGCAAGCCUGAUUCAGCCAUGCCGCGUGAGGGAUGAAGGCCUUAGGGUUGUGAAGCCCUUUCGUCCGGGACGAUAAUGACGGUACCGGAAGAAGAAGCCCCGGCUAACUUCGUGCCAGCCGCCGCCGUAACAC